AGACAAGGAUGAAAACCUAGCCGCAUCCAUUCUUUCUCAUGGGAGAGGAGACGAGGCUUCGAGCUUUGCUGAUGCGAGUCAGUUGGAUCUAAGCCUUAGUUGAAAGAUGUAGCCUAGUAGUUUAGAAUUGCAGGAAUUGACAUCUAGAUGUGCCGAAUUUUACAAGAAAUGACAAUCUUUUGAGUGACAGGCGGAAUCCCUUGGCUGCUUUAAGUAAUGGCAUCGGCUGCUUGUAUUCUCGUUGGCUUUCUGUUUACAGUUCAACUGGCUUCUUCGGUAACAGUUCUGGCACUCCGGUCUUUUACUGAAGCAAAAAAGUUUCAGAGGAUGCUUGCAAUGUCAUCUACAAAUUGAGAAGGAAAAGGCUUCUACAAUUGCAAAUUGUGUAAAGAGAAUUCCAUGAUAGAGUGUUCUCCUUAUAUGACCCAAUAGCCAUUAAUCCAUGCCUUUGCGCUACAGUCGAUGGGAAUAGGAUGCAUCUUGUAGUGUUUCCAACUUAAAUUUAUAGAAUUAUUUUUUCUAUUCAUUCUUAUUGAGAGCAUAAUGAAGGUUUUUCAUUGAGCCAGGGUACAACUCUAUCUAUAUUGUUUGGGGGAUGAUAUACACCUGAAAUCAGCUAGGUUAUCUUCAGGUGAUGAGUAAGCAUGUUGAAGGAAAAGGAAUUAUACACCGACUGGGCUGUGUCAUGAACAUCUUGCUUUCGUUUCUUCUAUUAUUAGCGUGACAGCCCGGUUCAGACAGGCAGAUUUGGGGUUCUGAUGAUAGUAAAGCUAUAUCUUUGUAAAAUUGAAUUUAGCUUUCAAAAAAAUAUUUUUU